GACGAACGCUGGCGGCGUGCUUAACACAUGCAAGUCGAACGGACAGGCCCUGCUCUUGUGGGGUGCUCGAGUGGCGAACGGGCGAGUAUCACGUGAGUAACCUGCCCUUGACUUUGGGAUAACUUCAGGAAACUGGGGCUAAUACCGGAUAGGAGCUCCUGCUGCGUGGUGGGGGUUGGAAAGUUACGGCGGUUGGGGAUGGACUCGCGGCUUAUGAGCUUGUUGGGGGGGUAGUGGCUUACCAAGGCUUUGACGGGUAGGCCGCCUGAGAGGGUGACCGGGCACAAUGGGACCGAGGUAGGGCCCAGAGGCGCACGGGGGGCAGUGGGAGGGAACAUGGGCCAAUGGGGGGGAGGCUGGUGCAGGAACGGCGGGGGCGGGAAGACCGCCGUCGGGUUGUAAACCGCUUUGGCCUGUUACCAAGCGGGCGUGACGGGAAUGGGUAAAAAAGCACCGGCUAACUACGUG
rnacentral:rRNA from 1 species